UGGGUUGGCCAAAAAGUUCGUUCAGGUUGUCCCAUCUUACAAAAAACCGGAAUGAACUUUUUGGCCAGCCCAAU
rnacentral:miRNA from 1 species